UCUUUUAAGAUUGUCAGGAUCUUCAGAAGGGUCAGUCUCUUCAGGAAGCCAUCUAGAGGGGAAGAGAUUAAAAGGAGGCAAAAAUAUAGGCUAAAGGAAUCAAGCCAGGAACCCAAGAUUUGAUCUGGUAAGAGCUGGAUGGUGGGGAAGCCCUCAAGACUAUUCACUCUUUAUUUCUAAUCAAGAUUUAUGAGAACAGCACACCAGAACCUGGAGCAAUGAAGACAGAACUGCUGAAACAGCUCAAAACAUGCAUUUGAGGAGAAGAAGAGGUGACACACCUACUAUAGGUGCAAAGGAUUACCAGGCUGUGUUCAGACCAGACUUCAGCAAUCCUCAAGAAACCCAGAGAAGCCCUGGACUGCCUUUAGUCCACUUUUAAAUUCUUCCCUGGGCUAAUCAGUAACCAACAGAGGAAAACAAAAGGGAGGAGGGUGGGGAAGGUGGCCAGCAGAAAACCAGGCAAGAGAACAAGCCUGCUCCCAGAUAACUUCUUACAGAGUUAGCGUUACACAGAGUAAUUAAUCUCUGUGUGGUUCAGUAGUAGAAAAGGUUUCUCCUGGGUUCCAAUUUUCAGUGCAAUGGGGUAAAAAGAAAGGAAUUGACUGGCAAGGGUGAGGAAUUAAUGCUUAAACCAAGAAUUGAGUUUUGAGUACAGAUUUAUAACAUUUCCUUUUAACCUGAUUUUAAGUUUCUUCUAAAUAGGAAUUGUGCCUUUAAUUCUCUUUGGAAUCUCUCUUUCUCAAUGACAGUAUGAUUAAGAAUAUUCAUGUAUAUAGAGAAUGGAAUACAGCAGGACAAGGAGAUUCUGGAAAUAGGUCAAGGGGCCUCUGUGUAAAUAUAAGAACCAAGGAGAGGUCUCUACAGCACAGGGCAGUGGGUACAGGCAAAGCUCUGUUGGGCCCUUGGGUUGCAGAAGAAUCAGAG